AUGAUGGUUGGUCCUGGAUAUUGUUGCAAUGCUUUGAAGAUAAAGAUAAGAAACCCAAAGAUUCUCUAUUCCAAGCAUAUGCACGCUUCUUCCUUCUCCUUCAAUUCUGCUUAUUUCUGCCUAUUUGUUAUUAUUAUUGUGUUUCUUUAUGGUUCUUUUCACAAACUUUCUCAAUCUCCUUCUAUAUGUGUUUUUGUUGUUGAGUCUGUUGUCCGCAUUUUUGUUGCUCUGAGUGGUUAUUGA